GAGGCCUGCCUGCCCAGUGACAAACGUUCAACGGCCGCGGUAUCCUGACCGUGCAAAGGUAGCAUAAUCACUUGUUCCUUAAUUGGGGACUGGAAUGAAUGGCCUCACGAGGAUUCAACUGUCUCUUACCUCUAAUCAGUGAAAUUGACCUCCCCGUGAAGAGGCGGGGAUACAACAACAAGACGAGAAGACCCUAUGGAGCUUUAAUUUUCUGUCUUAACUACUAAAUAACUAACCCUACUGGGAUAAAAAAAAAGAGAAAUAAGUCAGUAAUUUCGGUUGGGGUGACCUCGGAAAAUAAAACAACCUCCGAAUGAUUUUAACCAAGACAAACAAGUCAAAGUAUUAAAAAUCAAAUUGACCCAAUUCAUUUGAUCAACGGACCAAGUUACCCUAGGGAUAACAGCGCAAUCCUAUUCAAGAGUCCAUAUCGACAAUUAGGGUUUACGACCUCGAUGUUGGAUCAGGACAUCCCAAUGGUGCAGCAGCUAUUAAUGGUUCGUUUGUUCAACGAUUAAAGUCCUACGUGAUCUG
rnacentral:rRNA from 1 species